ACCCAAGGUUUUUUAUAAGGUAUGAAUAAAAUAGGCUUUCAGAUACCAUUGUUGUUUCCCAGCACCAACGGACAUCAGUCAUUCUGAUAGAGAAAGUAAACAUGAUAGCCUUGG